rnacentral:rRNA from 1 species
GUACACGCUGUGACUAGCAUAUCAAUAAGCGGAGGAAAAGAAACUAACAAGGAUUCCCUUAGUAACGGCGAGUGAAGCGGGAAGAGCUCAAAUUUGAAAUCUUCAAGGUUUUACCUUGACGAAUUGUAGUUUAAAGAAGUGUUUUCUGUUGAAGUUUUGGUAAAAGUUCUUUGGAAUAGGACAUCAUAGAGGGUGAGAAUCCCGUAUUUGACCAUUAUUUUCAGCUGUGUGAUACACUUUCAAAGAGUCGGAUUGUUUGGGAAUGCAGUCCAAAAUGGGUGGUAAAUUUCAUCUAAAGCUAAAUAUUGGCGAGAGACCGAUAGCGAACAAGUACCGUGAGGGAAAGAUGAAAAGAACUUUGAAAAGAGAGUUAAACAGUACGUGAAAUUGUCAAAAGGGAAGCGUUUGACACCAGUGUUGUUUUCUCGAAAAUCAAUUAAAAAGAGUUGGAUUUUGUGUUGUAUUGACCUUAACAGCUUUCUGCACUCUUUUCCUGCUUUUUUUAAUGCACUUUUCGUUUAACAAGUCAACAUCAGUUUCUUUUGUUGUAAAAGGGUCAUUGGAAGGUGGCUUUCUUUUCGGAGAAAGUGUUUAUAGCCUUUGAUCUCCUGCAAUCGGAGAGACUGAGGUCUGCAGCGUAGAUCCUUCGGGGUUAGAUACAUUUGUGCUAAGUUAUAACUUUUCAUAGACAACUUGUUGACUAUAGUUUAGUCAUUGUAGCUUACUCGCUUAUGCUAUUUUACCUACGCUUAGGAUGUUGAACUACUGAGACAUAGA